rnacentral:rRNA from 1 species
GAUGAACGCUGGCGGCGUGCCUAAUACAUGCAAGUCGAGCGAACGGACGAGAAGCUUGCUUUUCUGAUGUUAGCGGCGGACGGGUGAGUAACACGUGGAUAACCUACCUAUAAGACUGGGAUAACUUCGGGAAACCGGAGCUAAUACCGGAUAAUAUUUUGAACCGCAUGGUUCAAAAGUGAAAUACGGUCUUGCUGCUUCUUAUAGCUGGAUCCGCGCUGCAUUAGCUAGUUUGUAAGGUAACGGCUUACCAAGACAACGAUGCAUAGCCGACCUGAGAGCGUGAUCGGCCUCACUGGAACUGGUACACUGUCCACGCCACUACGGAAGGCAGCAGUAGGGAAUCUUCCGCAAUGGGCGAAAGCCUGACGGAACACCCCCGCGUGACUGAUGAAGUUCUUCGGGUCGUAGAGCUCUGUUAUUAGGGAAGAACAUAUGUGUAAGUAACUGUGCACAUAUUGACGGUACCUAAUCAGAAAGCCACGGCUAACUACGUG